GAGUUUGAUCGUGGCUCAGGAUGAACGCUAGCGACAGGCUUAACACGUGCAAGUCGAGGGGCAGCGGGUAGAUGAGCUUGCUCAUUUAUGCCGGCGACCGGCGCACGGGUGAGUAACACGUAUGCAACCUGCCCGUCUCAGGGGGAUAAUCGUCGGAAACGGCGUCUAAUACCCCGUAUGAAGCUGGACGGCAUCGUCUGGUUUUGAAAGAAUAUCGGAGACGGAUGGGCAUGCGGCGCAUUAGCUAGUUGGCGGGUAACGGCCCACCAAGGCGACGAUGCGUAGGGGUUCUGAGAGGAACGGUCCCCCCAACUGGUACUGAGACACGGACCAGACUCCGUACGGGAGGCAG
rnacentral:rRNA from 1 species